rnacentral:lncRNA from 1 species
CCGAGCUAAGAACAGACCGAAAGUCACCGCUGGGUUUAUGUGUCCACCAGAGAUUCCGGCAGUGCAGUAGACGAGGGCAAAGAUCAUGCCACCGAAAGCCCAAGCUAUGCCUUGGAUUCCAACGGAGGCACACAUGUUUGGUGCUCUCUUCACUCCCAUCACUGUCAAUACUGUGAUGUAAAGGAAGAGGAAGGUAGCUAUGAACUCUGCUAUACCGGCUCUCCAGAACGACCACGAGCUCAGCUCCCCUGGCUCGAACAGCGGCGCUGGUGGUGGCUCCUUGUAGUCCUUGUCCGUCUGAGCCGAUGUCCCGAUGGGCUGCCUCUCUGGGAACUUGUUCGCUCCCACUCUCACAUCCUCUUCUUUCCCUUCCAUUUUUUCUCUUUUCCCUCUCUUUCUAGAAGAACGUUAAAGUUAUGCGAUGGAUAGUGAGUGAAUGGCUGAGAAGGAGAGAAAGGGUGUGGUUUUAUAAAGAAGAGAGAGAAGACGGCCUAACGUCUCGAAAACACUAAUUUCUUCUUCUUCUUUUUCUUUUCUUUUUUUCUUUUAGUGAAAGAAGAAACAUACAGGGAAUCAUUCCUGGAUAACGAUGAUCUUUAAACUGUUUUUAAUUCACGACAUUAGCUGUUGUGAUAGGGACAUUAUGGCUUUUAAUCAUGUAACAAAACCCCACGCUACUGUUUUUAUAUUCUGAAACUCCAAAACACCACUAGCAUGUUUUGUGAGCUGAUUUAUCAUUUUUUUCUAACUUAUAAUGACCGGCAAUUGUUAAUUCAUUUUUGUAAUGAACCGAAGCAGCUUAAGCAACCCUUUAAGCUACCUGGUUAAAGGUGCUCUUAGUUUCGUGAAUCGUAAUUGUGAAGCACAACUUAACUAUUAUAGUAUUAUCGUAUAGGUUAAAUUAUAAGCAAUCAUGCAGACGAUUGGUCCUCUGAGCUGUCUUUAUUUCUUGAUGGUUUUACCAACGAAGAAAGCGGGACCUAAUUUAUCUUCUCUUACAGACCUAAGCUCACUGUUAAAAUGUAAAAUGUUUUGGCAGAAAUAAGCUGUAAAAGUGGAAUAGUAACUUUUGACUAGCACGACGAUAUAAAAUUUACUUCCGACCGUUGGAGAAAGAAAGGGAAGAUUUGUGUGGAAGGAAAGUGACUGCUUUAUGUAGAAAGCACAGUCGUCUGGACUAUUGUGCCAGGCCUCGAAUAAAGUUUAGCCAGGUAUUAUUACCUGUACUAACGACAAAAUAAUAUAAUUUGUAAAUCAGAUGUUCUUUUAUUCAAAGCUCAUUAGUAGAUUAAAGGUCCUAGGGAAUGAAGAAAGAAAAAGGGUAGUAAGAAAAUUAAAGGGGUAGUGAGAAUAAAAUGUUAGGAAGUAGGGCAUUUUAGAUUAUUUUUUUGGUUAAUAAAAAAAAUAGAAGGGACAGAAGAAAGAGAAGAGGUAGUGAAAAAAUUAAGGGGUAUUGAAAAUAAAAUGUUAAGAAAUAGGAUGUUUUAGAUUAAUUUUUUGGUUAAUAGAAAGAAGAAAUAGAGUUAAUUAGUUAGGAAAAAGGAAGUGGGAUCCAGACAAGAGUAGUGCAAAAAUUAAGGGGUAGUGAGAAUAAAUUGUUAGGAAGUAGGGUGUUUUAGAUUAGUUUUUUGGUUAAUAUAAAAAAAAGAAGAGUUAAUUAGUUUUCCUAUUUAAAGAGGUAGAGAGCACAUAUGUAAAGAUUGAACAGCUCAGAAAUGUAUUUUGCUUUUCUGUGAUCACAUGAUGCUUCUCUACUCCCACUUUCUUUCUUUAUCUCUUUUUUGUUAAAGUUCUUUAUUUUUCGCUUCUCAGUCCUUUUUUGUUUGUUUGUUUGUCAACUGUUACUGAUUUAUAUAGUAAUAACUAGGGUCGGCCCGCCCUACGGGCGGGACUUUUAUUAUACUUUUUAAUAUUUGUUUAAAUUUUUAAAUGUUUAGUUUAAUAAUAUAUAUUAAUCAUUAAUAUUAUUUAUGUAGUUUUUGUGUUAAUAUUCAGCUUCCCUUUUUUUCUUGACUAACUUUUUUUAGGUUUCUUGAAAUUGUAUAAAUGAAACUAUAUUUUAUUUUUCUUACAUCGAUGCAUAUUUCUAAUAUAUUUUAAAAGUCUUUACGAUUUUAAAUAUAACUAAUAACUUUUCAUUAUGUUAACAAUUUUGAAUAUAACUAAUAAUUUAUAAAUACAAAAUAUUUUAAUUUCUCUUAAAAAUAAUAAUUAUGCUAUAAAAAUAUAUCUUUAUUUAUUAUAAUAAUGUAUAAAUAAUUUUAAAAUUUAUUUAUUAUUUACUUUUGUUAUUUUUAUUUAAAAAUAUAUGUUUACCUAAAUAAAAACAUUUUAUUAUGUCAUUAUUUUACAUUUUUCAAUACUGGUAGUGAGAUUUAACAUAUGAGUUUUUUUUUUAUGUUUUAUAUAUUAAUAUUUAUUUUAUUUCUUACUCUCUUUGAAAUCUAUUUCUAAUUAUGUAAAACAGUAAACUUUACCUAGUAUGGAUCCAAUCGGACUACUUGACCGGUUCAUGGUUGUACCAACUAUAAACGUUCUAGGAUCGAUCCGCGCUUAGCACAUAAUAUAACUUACGUAUGAUUUGUAUGACAAUUUUAUUGUGUAUUUUGAUUGCAUGUGUUUUGUGUCAGCAUUUGCAACAGAAAUGUAUUAGAAUGUUUAUAGUUGUUAAGAAUCUUUAGGUGUGGAGAGAUUAUGUAGAUUAAAUUUAUUACAUUUUAUUUUAAUGUUUGUGUUUAGAAGUCGUUGCGUAUAAUAUAUUAUUUUUGUGGAUAUAUUGUGUUACAUAUAUUUUUCAAAUUAAAAUACAACUAUUUUAAUCGAAUUUAACCAAAUCGAACUAAUUGUAUUCAUUGUAUUAGUGUGAGUAUUCAUCUUAAAUGUGUAAGUACACAUUUGAUUUUAAAAACAAUUUGGUAUAUGUUAAUUUGUAAAACUAAAAUUAGAAUAAAAAAAGAUGAUCGGUACAAAGUAGCAUAAAAACAUAAUUGAUAAAAAAAAUUAUUAUUUAUUUACUUUAACGCCAAGAUUAUUUUCUUAAUUUUUUUACGAAAUCACAUUAAUAUAUAAAAGUAUUUAUGUUAAAUUUUAUGAAUUAUUUUAUUAUAAAAUUGACUUCAAAAAUAUAAAAAGGAAACUUAAGUAGAAAAAAAUAAUAUUGAUUAUUCAUUGAAUAUUAUUUUCUGUUAUUUAAACUAUUUUCUAAUAAUUAUAAAAAAAAGAUUUUAAAAUAAAAUGUUUAUUACUUUAAAAUAUAUUAUUUUUAGAUUAUUUUCUUAAAUGGAAGAUUAUUAAUUUAAUUUAAAAUAAAAUAUUAUUUUGUAAAUUUUCCUUUUUAUGAAUCAUAUUAUAUUUAAAAUAUAUUUUCGUUUUAAAACAUUAUAAAUGUUAUACCGAAAGGAAGCCAAAGGUAAAUGAUUAUGGCGUUUAACGGCGUAGGGCGUUGGACUAGACGGCCGUCGUGGAAGAUUAUACGGUUCUUGAGACGUUCUAUGGGGACUGUUGUGGCUGAUUUGGACUCAGGCACCAUGUAACCUUCCUGUUACAAGAGAAAAGCAAGUCGUUACCAAUCAUGUAGUAAAAGAUUCCAAAGUUAUACAAUUAUAGUAAGAAAGCUCGUAAAUUACUGAAAGUUUCAGUGGUUAGGAGAAAAAGAAAGAAAGGAAUGUUGAAAUAUGGGUUCGGUCAUUAAAUGGGACCAUCCAACUUAUGUGGGGGAAGGUAGUUGGGGGUAGGUAGGAAGCAUUUAUGAAAAUCACUACUACUAUUCUAUUCUGUUAUCUACUUCUUUUUUUGUCACUGGAAACUUAUUACGUUCCUUUCUUGAAUUUCAAAUAAUAAAACUACUCAAUCUAGAUAUUUCAUGCGUGUUUUUAUUAUACAUACAUACACAUACAAAUAAUUUGGACGUAAAAAAAAGUGAAUAGAUCAUGUGAAGGCAUGUGAACACGCAACACGGCAUUAAAUAGGUCCUACUGCAUUUAUGUGUAGUUUUCAAGUACUUACUUCUUUGAUUACGAAAUGUUUCAAAGUAUCAGACGUUUAUGCACUCGAUUUUCACCUAAACCGGGGUUCUUAAAAAUUCAAGAAACUUAAACGUAUAUGUUUAUAGUACCUUGCAAAUGGACAUGAAAUCAUGAUCGGAGGUGCGGUCACCGAGGCCAAGAUCCGGUGAUUCUUCCCCGAACUCCUUCAAGAUGGCUAAUCUCUUCAAGUCUCCAACAAGAACACCUGGCUUCUUCACAAACCCUGUGGCUUUCAUCGUUUUGGGAUUCACUUCGAUCUCUGUUCCCAAAACUUUAUCUCCUCCCAAGUAAUCCUUAACGAAAGCCUCAACCAUCACUAUCGGAUUAGCAGUCACCACCACUUUCCUCUUGCAUUUAUCAAACACCUCGAAACUGUCCUUCCUCACAUCCGCCGCGUAGAACCGUGGAAGAACGGCGCGAGAGACGAGCUCGAUGUCGCGGAUUUUGAUGCCGGCGAAGGAGAUGUAGAUGAGGAUUUGGAUGCCGAGAGCUUCGGAGACGAAGAGGUAAGCGAUGAUGACGAUCGGGAGAGAUAGAAGGAGGAUCAAUCCACGGAAGAGGCUGCCUGCUUCUAUGGCGACGAGCAUGAAAUAAGGGAAGGAGCUUCGAGAGAGGAGCAUAGUCCCGUCGAGAUCUGCAGCGAUAGAAUCAUACUCUCCACUUUUACACUCGCUUAUCGGAGGAAAGCUUCUGCUCUUCUUCUUCGCCGGAGACAUCACUCUUUGAUGGUAAACAGAGAGGAUAGAGAGAGAGAGAGAGCGCUUCUUUUUGUUGUUAAUCUUGGAAAGAAAGAGAGGGAAGGGGUUCUUUCUUGUUUUAAAUGCACUGCAUUCCUUGCCGAUUUAUAUUAUCAUUCCUAUCCAAUAUAUGACAUAUUUACUAAUUUAUCCUUAAACUAUCUUUUCUAAACAAUUAUAACCCUUAUUCUUUCUCACUUUGUCAUCAUUCUCACGAAAAUAUAUAAAUUCCGCAUCACAAGAGUCAUAACAAAGUUUUGGACUAGAGUCAUCAAUCUUUUUUUGUUAUACUAUUACAUUUUAUGUCAUAAUUCAAUAUGUGAUUAAUUUUACUACAAAAAAAAAGGUUUGCAUUAGUAUGUAAAUAUAAUGAAAACUGGUGAAUAUUAUCUAUCAAUCGUGGAUCAAUAUGUGUAAUAAAUACUAUAGUUUAGGUCACGCGGUUCUCUUAGGAGUUAGGAGGACUAAAAGAAAAGCCUUAUUUAUUUUUUGUUGAUCGACAUGAAAGCAAGUAGCUUAGCAGCUCACCUACAUAGAAGGCCGUCUCAUUAGUUGAGUGACUCAUUAAUAUACUUGGCUAUGUAUAGCUUUACCAAUUAAUGUCUAUACAGCUGUGUAUCCAACUAUGUAGAUGAAAAUAACUGAUUAUAAUACAUUUUGGAUACAUACAUAUAUUGAUAGAAAGGUAUAGUUUUAAAUAAGUCAAAAUCUAGAUUAUGAGCAUGUCGACUAACCAUAUUUUGACUCUUUAGUGAGCUCGAGUCAUCUGCUAAUUUCAUCAUAAUUACAAACGUCUUGUUUUCUUGUAUAAAGGUCAAUGAUAUAUUAAUAAAAUGGUAGAUAGUUGGGAGUGGGACAGCCCUUGAAUAGUUGAAUGUAUUCAAACUUACUGAUAUAUAUAUAUAUUUUUUUUUUUUGAAAGAAUUUUAAAUUUAUUCAUCUCAAAAAAACUUUUGUACAGAGAACUGCUAUGUUUCUUUAAUAAACAGAAAAUUCAAACUUUACUCCUAUACUUAUUCUCUUCCAAACCAAACCUCCAUUGCCUUUUCAUACUUAGCUUCAUUCUUCUUUCUAAGGGAAGUUACUCUGUUUCUCACCAGCUUAUCCAUUCUUACUGAUAUAUAUCAUAUAUGCUGUUUGUAACAAUUUAUGGAUAUGUAUUAGUAUAUAUGAAUAAUUACACAUGAUGUGUUAAUAUUGAAGCAGCAACCCACCACGUGAACCUUGAAAGGAAAAAUAGACUUAAACGUAUAUAUGCGCUUGAAAAUUCACAGAAAAGUGAAUACUAAAAAGCUAUGGUAUGAAUUAUGAUGAUGAUGCGGUAGGUAAUCCACUUUGAUGUUUACCUUGUAGAAUAAAAUGGAGUUGGAAAAUUAAGAAUGCUUUACUUCCUCAGCUUCGGUUUGUUUGGCCAUCCAUCGAAACAAACAAUGACUCUCUUGACUUGCUUUCUUGAGAAAAGCCAUUUGGUCAAAUAUUGUUAAUUGUAAUGGUUCUAUGUCCCCAUGGUCAUGGUUCAGAAUAUAAUCAGUGUUAUGGUCCAAAUGAAACAUAUUUUCGAAAAUGGGUAUAGUAGCUAGCAGUUAAAGAAACUACCUUAUAAAUUAUUGAGCCCAAAAGAGGUCCAAUAAAAAAGCCUUAUCAUAAAUGGGCUAAACCCAAACCGAAGCUAAACCAUAAUAUUUACUCUCUUUUGGUGUCUUUGUUAGAUUGAAACCAAAAUCAAAGCAGACAGACCAAAUUUUAUGUCUGAAAACAUGGGGGACUCAAAUCAGAACUACGAAACCAAGCAAAUGUCAGAAGACUUGCAUUAACAAUUAAUUUAAAGCAGAUAAAUCCACAGCUAAAUAAAAUAGAGAAGCAAAACAAAUCGAUGAAACAAACAGAGAUCACCAAAUCACAAAUAUUUUCAGGCUCUGGGAAACAAAACCAAAAAAAGAAGAUAAAGCGACAAGAGUAAUCUUAAAAGAAACAAAGGAAAUCUCAGGAUCUGGUCUUGAAAGGAAUGGCUCGGAUGACAAGCUGGUGGUAGAGAGCCGCAAGAGCUGCUCCGAUGAAUGGUCCCACCCAGAAUAUCCACUGCAUGCAAGCAACACAAAACACCCACCAAAAUCAAUAAUCACUACUAACCAAGAAGGAAAAUAAAUGAUCUAAAGUAAGUUGUAUAGUGUCGAGGGAGGGACUCACGUGGUCAUCCCAAGAGUGGUCCUUGUUGUAGAUGAUUGCAGCUCCUAGACUCCGAGCUGGGUUAAUACCGGUCCCGGUGAUCGGAAUCGUCGCCAAGUGAACCAAAAACACAGCGAAUCCGAUCGGGAGUGGAGCCAAAAUCUGCAAAGUUUAAGAGUUAAUACACCAACAUUAAAAAUUUAAAACACAAACAUUUAGUCUCUCGAACUUACCGGAACGUGGGAGUCACGCGCGCUUCUCUUGGCGUCGGUGGCGGAGAAGACGGUGUAGACAAGGACGAAGGUUCCGAUGAUCUCCGCUCCGAGGCCGGAUCCUUUGGAGUAGCCGGGAGCGACGGUGUUGGCUCCGCCGCCGAGGGUUUGGUAGGGAGUAGGCUGGAAGCCUUUGACAACACCGGCGCCGCAGACGGCACCGAGGCAUUGCAUGACGAUGUAGAGGACAGCUCUGGUCAGUGAAAGUUUCCGAGCUAAGAACAGACCGAAAGUCACCGCUGGGUUUAUGUGUCCACCAGAGAUUCCGGCAGUGCAGUAGACGAGGGCAAAGAUCAUGCCACCGAAAGCCCAAGCUAUGCCUUGGAUUCCAACGGAGGCACACAUGUUUGGUGCUCUCUUCACUCCCAUCACUGUCAAUACUGUGAUGUAAAGGAAGAGGAAGGUAGCUAUGAACUCUGCUAUACCGGCUCUCCAGAACGACCACGAGCUCAGCUCCCCUGGCUCGAACAGCGGCGCUGGUGGUGGCUCCUUGUAGUCCUUGUCCGUCUGAGCCGAUGUCCCGAUGGGCUGCCUCUCUGGGAACUUGUUC